rnacentral:tRNA from 1 species
GCAUUGGUGGUUCAAUGACAGAAUUCUCACCUUCCAUGUGGAAGACCCAGGUUCACAUCCCGGCCGGUGCA